AAGCUUCUGCAAUGGGUCCCUCUGAGCUAAUACUAACACGAGAAACUCUCGAUGAAGAGCAAGAAGAGAGGGAGAGUGACACUGAUGACAUUGACCAUGAAGUGACUGAGGAGAGUCAUGAAGAACCAGCCUUCAGAAACUUUAUGCAGGACACGCGGAUGAAAUUCCAGAGGAGAAGCAACCCGAAUGAAUGAGACCUGCAGAAACAGAAGUAACUGUUGGUCCGAUGAGUUAAAGGUCUUGCAGCCAACUGACUGUACAUCUGGCCAUCUGCCACUGUGGCUUCCUGAAGCUGAAGGAACCAGAAAGCAGUUUCUUUUCCUGCAAAUUCUUCAGAUCUCUCCGUUGAGAGCUUAGAUUUAGAGCUCUGACAGCAUUAGCAUCCAGAGUACUCACUGGUCCCCAGAGGCA